rnacentral:rRNA from 1 species
GACGAACGCUGGCGGCGUGCUUAACACAUGCAAGUCGAACGGGGGUAGCAAUACCCCAGUGGCGGACGGGUGAGUAACGCGUAGGUAAUCUGCCCCUCGGUGGGGGAUACCCGGCCGAAAGGCCGGCUAAUACCGCAUACGCUGGUUCGGUGGGAAUCCGAAUCAGGAAAGGUUUACUGCCGGGGGAUGAGCCUGCGUCCGAUUAGCUAGUUGGUGGGGUAAUGGCCCACCAAGGCGACGAUCGGUAGCUGGUCUGAGAGGACGAUCAGCCACACUG